rnacentral:tRNA from 1 species
GCGCCUGUGGUGUAAUGGCGUAGAGCAUUUCCGCCCAGUCAGCAGAAAGUGUGGGUUCGAGUCCCGCCUGGCGCU